rnacentral:tmRNA from 1 species
GGGGUAGCACCGGUUUCGAUUGCCGAUGCGCGGAAAAGUAAGCACGCAGAGGAACGAGUGGCCUCUAUAAAACAUUCGGCUUAAAUUUAAAUGCAGAUAAUGCAAACUACAACGCUGACGCUCAGUUGGCGUACGCUGCUUAAUUAGUUAAGCGGUUCGUCCGUACCUCUUUCCCGUCGGGAGGCUGCGGGUGUCAAUGUAGGCGGGGUACGGCCGUGCCGAGGUGAAGUCGGCGGCGCGGCGGCAUUUCGAUUUCUGCCUGUCGAACCCUUCGGUCGCAGAGGGCGCGGCAGUAAGAUAACUGCGGCAUAAGCGUGUAGAAAGCUUUUUGGCAAUUCGGUAAGACGCGAGUUCAACUCUCGCCUACUCCACCA